AUUGAACGCUGGCGGCAUGCCUUACACAUGCAAGUCGAACGGCAGCACGGACUUCGGUCUGGUGGCGAGUGGCGAACGGGUGAGUAAUGUAUCGGAACGUACCUUUCAGUGGGGGGAUAACGUAGCGAAAGUUACGCUAAUACCGCAUAUUCUGUGAGCAGGAAAGCAGGGGAUCGCAAGACCUUGCGCUGAUUGAGCGGCCGAUAUCAGAUUAGCUAGUUGGUGAGGUAAAGGCUCACCAAGGCGACGAUCUGUAGCGGGUCUGAGAGGAUGAUCCGCCACACUGGAACUGAGACACGGUCCAGACUCCUACGGGAGGCAGCAGUGGGGAAUUUUGGACAAUGGGGGCAACCCUGAUCCAGCCAUGCCGCGUGAGUGAAGAAGGCCUCGGUUGG
rnacentral:rRNA from 1 species